AACGAAGUCGUCCGGCGAAGGAUGGGGAUGCGUCUGAUUAGCUUGCCGGCGGGGUAACGGCCCACCGGGGCGACGAUCAGUAGGGGUUCUGAGAGGAAGGUCCCCCACAUUGGAACUGAGACACGGUCCAAACUCCUACGGGAGGCAGCAG
rnacentral:rRNA from 1 species